UACGGAGGGUGCAAGCGUUAUCCGGAUUCACUGGGUUUAAAGGGUGCGUAGGUUGAUGGGUAAGUCAGUGGUGAAAUACUCCGACUCAAUCGGAGAACUGCCGAUGAUACUAUCCAUCUUGAAUACGGUGGAGGCGGGCGGAAUGCGUCAUGUAGUGGUGAAAUACUUAGAUAUGACGCAGAACAGCCAUUGCGAAGGCAGCUCGCUACACCGGCAUUGACACUGAGGCGCGAAAGCGUGGGUAGCAAACAGG
rnacentral:rRNA from 1 species